rnacentral:lncRNA from 1 species
UACUGUAGUUUUCUUCAUUCCUCGCUCAUUUUAUUCCACGUCCGUGGUUCAUUUCUUUACUGCUUUACGGUUUUUUACUUUCUUUACUAUAGCUUAGUGUGUCUUGUACGCCGACCGGCCCAAUCAUGGGCCGUGUUGGUGGUCGGAUUACCUCUACAGAAUUAUUUGACAUCUUCGCCUUUCCAAUGGCAUUUGGCUGUUUGGAGUUAAAAUUGCGUCCCUUGCUUUCAGUUUUUGACAUCUAAACGCUAACGUGUCCUACUACCAUUUAUCUUCAAGUGCACGUUUCAAAUUUGUGUUCGCUUCUCGUGUCCGCCAUCUCAAUGCUUAUCUUCCGACUGAUGCGGUUUAGGUGCCGUCACCAUUUCUUUGUCCAGAAUCACCACAUAACUCAUUAACAUAGAUCAAUAGUCCAGUAGUUCCAGAAUGAUGUCCGCCUCAACGAAAAACUAUUUGGUUCUUUAAGACAGCAAAUAUCAAUUUAUUAUAUCACUCAUCAGUUGUUUGGAUAAUUGAAGUACAUGCUAUAAUAGUUGUUUAUACAGUUUUACAUAUUUAAAUAAAAUCAAAUUUUCUUUUUAUGUGUUGUUCUGUUGCUGACCAUAUGGUAAAAUGUAUUAUCCUAAGCUGCUGUUUAAUGUGAAAUAAUUUAUGUGUUAAAAAGAUCAUUAUCUUAAGGCUUAAAUUGUUUCAAGAUAGUAUUAUCAUCCAUAUUUUAUUUCUUUUCUUUCCAAACUAUCAACAUUCAUUUUCAUAAUAUGGCGGUGCUUGUAGAAAUAGCUACAAGUUUACUUGAUAAUGAAUGCUCGACUAAUUAUAUCGCAGAACACAUCUCACCUGUAUUCGUUACAACAUAAUUCAAUAGUAUAGAGCCGGCACUAACACCAGACCAAAUUCCUCCAGGGUGCUGGUCAAAUAUGAGUGUGCUUGCCAAAGAACGCUUGAAUGGACUUACGAUGUUAUCAUCAGUGCAUCGGGACAUUAGUUAAACCCCAAUGACGUAUUGGAUAUUUUGGCGAAAAAAACAAAAAGGAAUUGACUUGAUAUUAUAAUUUAUGAAAAAUAUA